UACGUAGGGUGCAAGCGUUGUUCGGAAUUACUGGGCGUAAAGCGCGUGUAGGCGGUCUCGCAAGUCGGAUGUGAAAGCCCAGGGCUCAACCCUGGAAGUGCACUCGAUACUGCGAGGCUAGAGUCCCGGAGAGGAUGGUGGAACUCUCGGUGUAGAGGUGAAAUUCGUAGAUAUCGAGAAGAACACCGGUGGCGAAGGCGGCCAUCUGGACGGUGACUGACGCUGAGACGCGAAAGCGUGGGGAGCAAACAGG
rnacentral:rRNA from 1 species